UACGUGGGCAGCAAGCGUUGUUCGGAGUUACUGGGCGUAAAGAGUGUGUAGGCGGUUUGCCCAGUUCGGUGUGAAAUCUCCCGGCUCAACUGGGAGGGUGCGCCGAAAACUGGCAGGCCGGAGUGCGGGAGGGGAGAGCGGAAUUCCUGGUGUAGCGGUGAAAUGCGUAGAUAUCAGGAGGAACACCGGUGGUGUAGACGGCUCUCUGGACCGCAACUGACGCUGAGACACGAAAGCGUGGGGAGCAAACAGG
rnacentral:rRNA from 1 species